rnacentral:piRNA from 1 species
UCCUAUCUUGCCCACCUAAUUCUCGUUUGG